UUAACUCAAAUUUGUAUGGAGUUGGAACGUUUGCCUACGUUUGCCGCUAGGGCCGCUGUGGUACCGAGCUCCAUACAAAUUUGAGUUU
rnacentral:pre_miRNA from 1 species